ensembl:lncRNA
AUGUCAAAGAGCAAGGCGAAAACUAAGCAUUCCAAAGGCGAAUCCGGAUCGCGUUUCAGACUGUGUGUCCCUCCCUGCCCGCGCUACAUUACGAGCGGGGAUACACACAGUCUGUGCGUGGUCUGCCUGGGUUUGAAGCACGCCGAGUCGGCUCUCGAGGGGGCCGACUGUCCGCAUUGCGAGAGGAUGUCGGUGCGGCUGCUUCGUUCCCGGAGGGCUCUCUUUGAGGAGGGAGCCUUCGCCAGCGUUCCCCGCGGUGCUGGCCCAGCUUCUGCCGAGGCAGAACGGCAGCUGCACUCGUGGGGUUUGCAAGUGGAUCUGACAGAGGGAAUGGAGACGGGCGAGUCCCUAUCUCCUUCCACUUCUGCCAGAUCCGGCGCCCAAUCUCUGGAGUCGGAAGCACGCUCUGCGGUUCCUUCCACCCAGGGAGAGGGAUCGACACUCCGCCUCUCUUCCUCCGAGGAGGUCGAUGUGGAGUCUGUCGACAGGGAUUCGCCACCCCAUUCGCCUAGGUAUGAGGAGCUCUUGGAGGUGGUGACUCGUGCGGUGGCCAAGUUGAGUCUUGACUGGCCCGCCGAGAAAACAACCGAACCGCAGAAAAGCAAGCUCGACGAACGCUUUCUGCGGGCGAGUCAGCCACCUCCUUGCCGGGGCCUUCCAUUUUUUCCCGAUCUACAUGAAGAGAUCGCUAGAUCGUGGAAGAGGCCAUUCUCAGCCCGCCUGUAUAUCCCCUCUUCAGAUUACUACGGCAAUGUAGUGGGGAUUGCAGAGCACGGCUACAGAGCGAUGCCCCGGGUGGAACAGACGCUCGCGAGCUAUCUGUCCCCCGGUACUGCAUCGUCUCUGAAGGCCCCGGCAUUGCCCUCCAAGCCGCUCAGAACAACGUCGGCUCUGGUGGGCAAAGGGUAUGCGGCAGCAGGUCAGGCUGGUGCGUGUCUGCACACCAUGGCGGUGUUACAGGCGUACCAGGCCGACCUGCUGAAGGAGCUUGAUGAGGGAGAGGAGAUCAAGUCCGAUGACAUCACUGAACUCAGAAGGACCGCUGAUCUCUCCCUCCGCGCCACCAAGGAGACCGCCCGAGCGAUUGGGCGGUCCAUGGCAGCUAUGGUGGCCGCGGAGAGGCAUUUGUGGCUGACCCUGUCCGAAAUGAAAGAGCGGGACAGGGUCUGCCUUAUGGACGCCCCGAUCCAGCCUUCUGGCCUGUUCGGCGACGCAGUCAACACUGUCGUCGACAGCUUUCAGGAGGCUCGCAAACAGGCGGCGGCGUUCCAUAAAUUCUUCCCUCGUCGCUCCCUCGGGGCAUCUGGGCGGGAGAUGCCCCAGCCGCACCCUAGCUCCUCACACCGAGAGGCUCAAAAACAGAGUGUCGCCUCUCGAGGUCUUCGAGGCCCAAACAAGAUGUUCAACGGGGUUACUCCGACGAUAGUCGGCCCCGAGCAGGGUCUGGUUGUGGAACAAGAAGUGAAAGCCCUAUUAGAGAAGGAGGCCAUCGAGGUGGUCCCUCCUCAAGACAGGGAAUCCGGAUUUUACAGCUGGUAUUUCAUAGUUCCAAAGAAGGAUGGGGGGUUGCGUCCGAUCAUAGACCUGCGGGUCUUAAAUCGAUCAGUUAUGAGACUGAAGUUGAAAAUGCUCACGAUCAAGCAUGUUGUAGCUCAGAUCAGGUCCGAGGACUGGUUUGUCACAAUAGAUCUCAAAGAUGCAUACUUCCACAUAUCCAUCCUUCCACAACACAGGAAGUUUCUGAGGUUUGCUUUCGGGGGCGAAGCUUACCAAUAUCGAGUACUUCCCUUUGGCCUUGCACUCUCACCCCGCACGUUCACGAAAUGUGUAGAUGCGGCUCUGGUCCCCCUGCGCAUGCAGGGCAUCCGCAUUCUCAACUAUAUCGACGAUUGGUUGAUUUUAGCUCAGUCAGAGCAGGUUGCGGCUCGGCAUCGAGAUGUCGUUCUCGCACAUAUGGGGGAGCUGGGUUUGAGACUGAACGCCAAGAAGAGCAAUCCACUUCGAACUAUCAAGGUCACGCGGCGCUGCCUCCGUGCCUUAGACAUGUGGAAGAAACCUUGGUUCUUGAAUCAGGGCCCAGUGCUGGGAGCUCCUGGUCGCCGUGUAACACUAGCGACGGAUGCCUCCCUCACUGGCAGGGGUGCGGUCAUGAGUGGCCACCCUGCCCGCGGUCUGUGGAGCGGUCGCCAUCUGACAUGGCAUAUCAAUUGUCUAGAAAUGCUAGCAGUUUAUCGUGCACUGAAGCACUUCCUCCCAGACCUAAGGGAUCACCAUGUGUUGGUGCGCACCGACAACACAUCGGUGGUCUCUUACAUCAACCACCAGGGAGGUCUGCGUUAGCGCCCCUUGUACAAGCUGGCGCACCAGAUCCUUGUGUGGUCCCAGGGCAAACUCCUCUCACUCAGAGCAGUAUAUAUUCCUGGGAAACUGAAUGUGGGAGCAGACAUACUGUCGAGGCAGGGGCCGAGGCCCGGGGAAUAGAAGCUUCACCCCGAGGUGGUGGAGCAGAUAUGGAGAAUUUUUGGCAGAGCUCAAGUAGACCUCUUUGCAACUCAGGAGACAGCACAAUGUCCCCUUUGGUUUUCUCUAGUUCAUCCAGCUCCCCUGGGACUGGACGCUAUGGUACAGACCUGGCCGAGGCUUCGUCUGUACGCAUUUCCCCCUAUUGCUCUGCUCCCGGGAGUUCUGGCGAGAGUACGCCGGGACGGGGUCCGUCUAUUGUUAGUAGCCCCGUUCUGGCCGGGCAGAGUAUGGUUCGCAGAUUUGGUCUCGCUCCUCGACGGCUCUCCUUGGGAGAUACCGAUCAGGGCAGACCUACUCUCACAGGCGCAGGGCACGAUAAUUCACCCUCGCCCGGAGCUGUGGAAGCUGUGGGUGUGGCCCCUGAGGGGGCGCAGUUCAUAGCAUCCGGUCUCUCAACCGAGGUUGUUGAGACCCUCCUCCAAUCCAGAGCUCCCUCAACGAGGAAACUGUACGCCCUGAGGUGGAAACUUUUCACCUCAUGGUGCAGAGACCGCCAGCUAGACCCAGUAAACUGCCCAGUUGGUACAGUUCUGGAGUUCCUACAGGCCAGGCUCUCUGCAGGGUUGACCCACUCCACGCUGAAGGUCUACGUGGCGGCCAUUGCGGCCUACCACGCCCUUCUCGAUGGUUAGUCUUUGGGAAGACACCCCUCAGUUACACGUUUCCUCCGCGGUGCGCUGAGACCUCCAGUACGGUCCCGUAUUCCCCCGUGGGACUUGGUUGUGGUGCUAGAGGCGUUGUGCAGACCUCCAUUUGAGCCUAUUCAAGAUAUCUCAGACAGACAUCUGACACUUAAAACCGCCUUUCUGUUGGCCAUUACCUCUCUGAGGAGAGUAGGAGACUUGCAGGCCCUCUCAGUGGCCCCUACAUAUCUGGACUUUGCACCUGGCAUGACCAAAGCGUUCAUAUACCCUCGAGCGGGAUAUGUUCCUAAGGUCCCCUCUGUCACACCACAACCUGUAGUGCUGCAGGCCUUCUGUCCUCCUCCCUUUCGGGAGCCCGACCAAGAGAAGCUAAAUUGUAUGUGUCCAGUUCGAGCACUGGACGCAUACGUCCACAGAGCUGCCCUGUGGAGAAAAACAGACCAAUUGCUUGUAUGCUAUGGUCCCCCCAAGAGGGGUUCUCCUGCUUCUAAGCAGUCUAUUAGUCGUUGGAUAGUCGAGGCUAUCAACGCCACCUAUGAGUCCUCUGGUCGUCCCCCGCUGUUGGGAGCCAAGGCUCACUCCACACGGGGUAUGGCGGCCUCCAAGGCCUUUUUGGCAGGUGUAUCCAUGCUGGACAUCUGCAACGCUGCGGGGUGGUCCACGCCCUCUACAUUUGCAAGAUUUUACGGCUUAGACAUGCCGGUCACUCCAGGCGCAUCCGUCCUCUCGUCCUAAGCUGUGCUCUUUGGAUACACACUAGGCAGGGGUUUGGUAGUCUGGCAGCGUUGGUACUCGUUCCCCAAAGCGUUCGACGCAGCUCGAGUUCCUGAAGAGGAACGUCUCUAGGUUACGUAUGUAACCCUAGUUCCUCGAGGGAACGAGACGCUGCGUCUCGGAGCCAUACCCCCGGCACCCUGCCGGCGCUUGCUGGUACUCGAAGCUGAUGCCAGCUGCGCGGCAUGUGCUUUUAUAGCUUCCUGGUCGCUUACGUCACCCCGCCUGUGACGUCACGCUCUUUCAUUGGACUGAUUUCACACGAUAUUCAGAGUCGCUCACACUAGACGCGUUCCCCAAAGCGUUCGAUGCAGCGUCUCGUUCCCUCGAGGAACUAGGGUUACAUACGUAACCUAGAGACGUUUUACUUGCAUUACUAAGUACCUUCAAUGUACAACACAGCAAUUAAUUCUAUGUGCUUAUUAGCAAUUUGAAAAUUUGUUUUCCAGUGGACUGCUAAAAUCUCCACAACCGCCAAUCAGUGCAUGCAAUUUGCAUGUGCUGGUCAGUGAACAGAGGCUCUGUGGUCUGUGGGUGUGUUGUAUGACCUGGUCUGGUGAGCUGGUCUUCUUUGGUGUUUUUUUUGUUUUUGUUUUUAUGGCAAUAUGACAACAUGUGGCAUAAUUAUUGUUGAGAGUUACGGGAAAUUAAAACUUAAUUUACAACAUUUUUGAAAAUAAUCUUUUAGAAAAAGUACUUGUGUAAAUUUUAAUACAGGAAUCACUAACUUUUAAUUGGAACCAGGGUCUAAAAUUUCACUCAUCAAGUGCUAAAUGCGAGUAAAUAAAACAGAUUUGUUAUUAGUGAUUAUAUCAAACUGUGACAGUGAUUAUCUGACUCUAGCAGACUAUUUGUAUAAAUUAGUUUCGAUUCACUCAAGACAUUUCAGCAAAAGAAAACAUUACAAGAGACACAGUGACCUAUUAUUAAUAAGCAAGGAAAAGCAGCUAAAUAAUUAGCUACAUUUCAACAUCACAAUCACAUAUUUUUAAAUAAAAAGAGUGUCACAGCUGGUAAAUUGUCUUAAUUUACCCUGCUAUAAAGGCUAAAUGGGGUGACUGUGAUAUUGUUAGUGUGUUUUGAAAGAGAUUAUGGGAACAGGUCUGUCUUUAGGUGGUCUGAUCUGUGUGUUUGUAUGUGUGUGUGUGCCAUACGAUGGGCCGAAUUUAAAUUAACAAAAUGUAUUCUUAUAAUUUUGGUUACAAAUAUGGCACUUCAGGAUGCACUGUCACUGAUGUCAAAUCUAUUAUGAUUUUUAAAA